UACGUAGGGUGCGAGCGUUAAUCGGAAUUACUGGGCGUAAAGCGUGCGCAGGCGGUUUUGUAAGCCAGAUGUGAAAGCCCCGGGCUCAACCUGGGAAUGGCAUUUGGGACUGCAAGGCUGGAGUUUGGCAGAGGAGACUGGAAUUCCUGGUGUAGCAGUGAAAUGCGUAGAUAUCAGGAGGAACACCGGUGGCGAAGGCGGAUCUCUGGGCCUUACCUGACGCUGAGGCGCGAAAGCUAGGGGAGCGAACAGG
rnacentral:rRNA from 1 species